GAUAAGGUGACUGAAGAAAUUAAGUGGUAAAUUGUAAAUUUAUAUAUGGGAUAUCCCUCUUAUCA
rnacentral:tRNA from 1 species